CAUGCACCAGUGGGGUCCCUUGGCCUGGCCUGUGCCCUCUCAGAAUCUGGGACCGCUCAAGGGAUGUCAGAGAGCCCCUUUCAGCCUGAUCCCACAGGCCAGGCUGAGGGACCCCACUGGUGCACG
rnacentral:pre_miRNA from 1 species